GACGAACGCUGGCGGCGUGCUUAACACAUGCAAGUCGAACGGUGAAGCGCCUUCCUUUUUGGUGGGUGUGGAUGAGUGGCGAACGGGUGAGUAACACGUGAGUAACCUUCCCCCUUCUUCUGGAUAACCGCAUGAAAGUGUGGCUAAUACGGGAUAUUCUGGGUCUGUCGCAUGAUUGGUCUGGGUAAGAUGUUGUUUCUGGGGGGGAUGGUCUGGCGGCCUGUCGGCUGGUUGGGGGGGUGAUGGCCUACCAAGGCGGGGAGGGGUAGCCGGCCUGAGAGGGUGGACGGUCACACUGGGAGUCAGACACGGGCGGGACUGCUACGGGAGGCAGCCGUGGGGAGUAGUGAACAGUGGGAGAAAGCCUGAUGCAGCGACGACGCGUGUGGGAUGGAGGCCUUCGGGUUGUGAACCUCUUUCGCUAGUGAAGCAGGCCUGCCUCGUUCGUGGGUGGGUUGACGGUAGCUGGAUAAGAAGCGCCGGCUAACUACGUG
rnacentral:rRNA from 1 species